UACGAAGGGAGCUAGCGUUGUUCGGAAUCACUGGGCGUAAAGCGCACGUAGGCGGAUUGUUAAGUCGGGGGUGAAAUCCUGGAGCUCAACUCCAGAACUGCCUUCGAUACUGGCGAUCUUGAGUCCGGGAGAGGUGAGUGGAACUCCGAGUGUAGAGGUGAAAUGCGUAGAUAUCGGGAGGAACACCAGUGGCGAAGGCGACUACCUGGCCUGUUUCUUGAGCGCUGAGGCGCGAAAGCUAGGGGAGCAAACGGG
rnacentral:rRNA from 1 species